UGAACGCUGGCGGCGUGCCUAAUACAUGCAAGUCGAGCGAACGGACGAGAAGCUUGCUUCUCUGAUGUUAGCGGCGGACGGGUGAGUAACACGUGGAUAACCUACCUAUAAGACUGGGAUAACUUCGGGAAACCGGAGCUAAUACCGGAUAAUAUUUUGAACCGCAUGGUUCAAAAGUGAAAGACGGUCUUGCUGUCACUUAUAGAUGGAUCCGCGCUGCAUUAGCUAGUUGGUAAGGUAACGGCUUACCAAGGCAACGAUGCAUAGCCGACCUGAGAGGGUGAUCGGCCACACUGGAGCUGAGACACGGUCCAGACUCCUACGGGAGGCAGCAGUAGGGAAUCUUCCGCAAUGGGCGAAAGCCUGACGGAGCAACGCCGCGUGAGUGAUGAAGGUCUUCGGAUCGUAAAACUCUGUUAUUAGGGAAGAACAUAUGUGUAAGUAACUGUGCACAUCUUGACGGUACCUAAUCAGAAAGCCACGGCUAACUACGUG
rnacentral:rRNA from 1 species